rnacentral:sRNA from 1 species
UGCAGCGGACCACUGCUGCGACGGAGGCUUUCUACCUCAUGCUUGCAUUUGUGUUUGACGAGUUGCAUUUCCGCAGAUGCGAGUGGAAGUGCAAUGACUUGAACGUCCCGUCAAAACGUGCCGCGACGCGGCUAGGGUUUCUCUUUGAGGGGGUUUUCAGGAAGCAUAUGAUUGUGAAAGGGCGCAACCGCGACUCGGCGUGGUUUUCGAUUGUUGAUGAGGAGUGGAAGGGAGAGGUUAAGGGGGCUCUUGAAAAGUGGCUGGAUGCUGACAAUUUUGAUGCUGAGGGCAGACAGAAGAAGGAUCUGGUGAGUAUUAGACUGGGG